UACAGAGGGGGCAAGCGUUGCUCGGAAUCACUGGGCGUAAAGGGUGCGUAGGCGGGUCUUUUAAGUCAGGGGUGAAAUCCUGGAGCUCAACUCCAGAACUGCCUUUGAUACUGAGGAUCUUGAGUUCGGGAGAGGUGAGUGGAACUGCGAGUGUAGAGGUGAAAUUCGUAGAUAUUCGCAAGAACACCAGUGGCGAAGGCGGCUCACUGGCCCGAUACUGACGCUGAGGCACGAAAGCGUGGGGAGCAAACAGG
rnacentral:rRNA from 1 species